rnacentral:rRNA from 1 species
CCUACGGGGGGCAGCAGUGAGGAAUAUUGGACAAUGGGCGCAAGCCUGAUCCAGCCAUGCCGCGUGCAGGAAGAAGGUCCUAUGGAUUGUAAACUGCUUUUAUACAGGAAGAAACACCUCUACGUGUAGAGACUUGACGGUACUGUAUGAAUAAGCACCGGCUAACUCCGUGCCAGCAGCCGCGGUAAUACGGAGGGUGCAAGCGUUAUCCGGAAUCAUUGGGUUUAAAGGGUCCGUAGGCGGCCAAAUAAGUCAGUGGUGAAAGCCCAUCGCUCAACGAUGGAACGGCCAUUGAUACUGUUUGGCUUGAAUUAUUAGGAAGUAACUAGAAUAUGUAGUGUAGCGGUGAAAUGCUUAGAGAUUACAUGGAAUACCAAUUGCGAAGGCAGGUUACUACUAAUAUAUUGACGCUGAUGGACGAAAGCGUGGGGAGCGAAC